GUCAAAUGUGUGUGGGUGGCACAUGCUAUUCUGUUGGCAUGGCGAUGUGUUUGAUGUUUGUAGAAAAAAGCUUUUAGGUUUUCUGGACUUUUUUCUGCUGUCAGCUUUGGUCACUGUGAAUAAAAGCAGCAUUUAUACCUGAACUCUCCGGGGACUGAGGCUUAGAGAGGAGAGAGUUUGAGACUGAGGGUUAGAGAGGAGAGAGGUUGAGACUGAGGGUUAGAGAGAGUAGAGAGUUUGAGACUGAGGGUUAGAGAGAGGAGAGAGGUUGAGACAGGGUUAGAGAGGAGAGAGGUUGAGACUGAUGGUUAGAGAGUAGAGAGUUUGAGACUGAGGGUUAGAGAGGAGAGAGGUUGAGACUGAGGGUUAGAGAGGAGAGAGGUUGAGACUGAUGGUUAGAGAGAGGAGAGGUUGAGACUGAGGGUUAGAGGGAGGAGAGGUUGAGACUGAGGGUUAGAGAGAGAGGGGAGAGUUUGAGACUGAGGGUUAGAGAGGAGAGAGGUUGAGACUGAGGGUUAGAGAGGAGAGAGGUUGAGACUGAUGGUUAGAGAGAGGAGAGAGGUUGAGACUGAGGGUUAUAGAGAGAGAGGAGAGAGGUUGAGACUGAGGGUUAGAGAGAGGAGAGAGGUUGAGACUGAGGGUUAGAGAGAGGAGAGAGGUUGAGACUGAGGGUUAGAGAGAGGAGAGAGUUUGAGACUGAGGGUUAGAGAGAGGAGAGAGGUUGAGACUGAGGGUUAGAGAGAGGAGAGAGGUUGAGACUGAGGGAUAGAGAGAGGAGAGAGGUUGAGACUGAGGGAUAGAGAGGAGAGAGGUUGAGACUGAGGGUUAGAGAGAGGAGAGAGGUUGAGACUGAGGGUUAGAGAGGAGAGAGGUUGAGACUGAGGGUUAGAGAGAGGAGAGAGGUUGAGACUGAGGGUUAGAGAGGAGAGAGGUUGAGACUGAGGGUUAGAGAGUGGAGAGCGGUUGAGACUGAGGGACUGAGAGAGUAGAGAGGUUGAGACUGAGGGUUAGAGAGAGGAGAGAGGUUGAGACUGAGGGAUAGAGAGGAGAGAGGUUGAGACUGAGGGUUAGAGAGAGGAGAGAGGUUGAGACUGAGGGAUAGAGAGAGGAGAGAGUUUGAGACUGAGGGUUAGAGAGGAGAGAGGUUGAGACAGGGUUAGAGAGAGGAGAGAGGUUGAGACUGAGGGUUAGAGAGGAAAGAGGUUGAGACUGAGGGUUAGAGAGAGACUGAGACUGAUAGUUAGAGAGGAGAGAGGUUGAGAAUGAGGGUUAGAGAGAGGAGAGAGGUUGAGACUGAGGGUUAGAGAGGAGAGAGGUUGAGACUGAGGGUUAGAGGGAGGAGAGAGUUUGAGACUGAUAGUUAGAGAGGAGAGAGGUUGAGACUGAGGAUUAGAGAGUAGAGAGUUUGAGACUGAUGGUUAGAGAGAGGAGAGAGGUUGAGACUGAGGGUUAGAGAGAGGAGAGAGGUUGAGACUGAGGAUUAGAGAGUAGAGAGUUUGAGACUGAUGGUUAGAGAGAGGAGAGAGGUUGAGACUGAGGGUUAGAGAGAGAGGAGAGAGGUUGAGACUGAGGGUUAGAGAGAGGGGAGAGGUUGAGACUGAGGGUUAGAGAGAGGAGAGAGGUUGAGACUGAGGAUUAGAGAGUAGAGAGUUUGAGACUGAUGGUUAGAGAGAGGAGAGAGGUUGAGACUGAGGGUUAGAGAGAGAGGAGAGAGGUUGAGACAGGGUUAGAGAGAGGAGAGAGGUUGAGACUGAUAGUUAGAGAGGUUGAGACUGAGGAUUAGAGAGUAGAGAGUUUGAGACUGAUGGUUAGAGAGAGGAGAGAGGUUGAGACUGAGGGUUAGAGAGAGAGGAGAGAGGUUGAGUCUGAGGGUUAGAGAGAGGGGAGAGGUUGAGACUGAGGGUUAGACAGCAGAGAGGUUGAGACUGAGGGUUAGAGAGAGAGGAGAGAGGUUGAGACUGAGGGUUAGAGAGAGGAGAGAGGUUGAGACUGAGGGUUAGAGAGGAGAGAGGUUGAGACUGAGGGUUAGAGAGAGUAGAGAGGUUGAGACUGAUGGUUAGAGAGAGAGGGGAGAGGUUGAGAGAAGAGAGGUUGAGAGGAGAGAGGGCAGAUCUCAAGAGAAGAGGCUGGUGGUCGCUGAGGGUCUGUGGGGUAGAGCCACAAGACUAGGUUCAAAAACGAUUUGAAAUAUUUCAAAUACUUUUAGCUGUGCUUGAUUGAGCCUGCCUAGCUCAAUGGACCAAUAGAAUAGUCCCACAAAUGCAUGCCACGCCCACAUGGCACUCCAGGCAGGCUGUAGCAAACACUGAAAGUAUUUGAAAGAUUUCAAAUAGUAUUUUACACAGGUCUGGUCUGAGGUAGCUAGCCCACCUUCCAUACCAUACAUCCCUCAGGGUCAGGUCUGGUCUGUGAGGUAGCUAGCCCACCUUCCAUACCAUACAUCCCUCAGGGUCUGGUCUGGUCUGAGGUGGCUAGCCCACCUUCCAUAGCAUACAUCCCUCAGGGUCUGGUCUCGUCUGAGGUAGCUAGCCCACCUUCCAUAGCAUACAUCCCUCAGGG
rnacentral:lncRNA from 1 species